UGAGUACGAGCUGCUACGGCAGCGAAGUGGGUGAUGUCAUGCUUCCAAGAAAAGCCCUAUACCCGUUAAGGCAUGAUGGCCUGUACCCGAAACCGACACAGGUGGGGUGGUAGAGAAUACCGAGGGGCGCGAGGUAACUCUCUCUAAGGAACUCGGCAAAAUGGCCCCGUAACUUCGGGAGAAGGGGUGCCACCGCAAGGUGGUCGCAGUGAAGAGGCCCAGGCGACUGUUUACCAAAAACACAGGUCUCCGCUAAGUCGCAAGACGAUGUAUGGGGGCUGACGCCUGCCCAGUGCCGGAAGGUUAAGGAAGCUGGUCAGCGUAAGCGAAGCUAGCGACUGAAGCCCCGGUGAACGGCGGCUGUAACGAUAACGGUCCUAAGGUAGCGAAAUUCCUUGUCGGGUAAGUUCCGACCCGCACGAAAGGCGUAACGAUCUGGGCGCUGUCUCGGAGAGAGGCUCGGCGAAAUAGAAUUGUCUGUGAAGAUGCGGACUACGUGCACCCGGACAGAAAGACCCUAUGAAGCUUUACUGUAGCUUGGUAUUGUGCUCGGGCUCGGAAUGCGCAGGAUAGGUGGGAGGCUAUGAACCAUUGCUUGUGGGUGAUGGUGAGCCACUGGUGAGAUACCACUCUUUCCGAGCUAGAGUUCUAACAGCCACCCGUUAUCCGGGGGCUGGACAGUAUCAGGUGGGCAGUUUGACUGGGGCGGUCGCCUCCUAAAAGGUAACGGAGGCGCGCAAAGGUUUGCUCAGGCUGGUUGGAAAUCAGCCGACGAGUGUAAAAGCAGAAGCAAGCUUGACUGUGAGACCUACAAGUCGAACAGGGAGGAAACUCGGCUUUAGUGAUCCGACGGUUCUGCGUGGAAGGGCCGUCGCUCAACGGAUAAAAGUUACUCUAAGGAUAACAGGCUGAUCUCCCCCAAGAGUUCACAUCGACGGGGAGGUUUGGCACCUCGAUGUCGGCUCAUCGCAACCUGGGGCUGAAGUCGGUCCCAAGGGUUGGGCUGUUCGCCCAUUAAAGCGGUACGCGAGCUGGGUUCAGAACGUCGUGAGACAGUUCGGUCCAUAUCCGGUGCAUGCGCAGGAAUAUUGAGAGGAUUUCUCCCUAGUACGAGAGGACCGGGAGGAACGCACCUCUGGUGUACCAGUUAUCGUGCCAACGGUAAACGCUGGGUAGCCAUGUGCGGAGAGGAUAACCGCUGAAAGCAUCUAAGUGGGAAGCCCACCUCAAGAUGAGUAUUCCCAUGGGGUAACCCAGUAAGGUCACGGGAAGAACACCCGUUGAUAGGCUCUACGUGGAAGCGCAGUAAUGUGUGAAGCGGAGGAGUACUAAUAGACCGAGGGCUUGACC
rnacentral:rRNA from 1 species